rnacentral:rRNA from 1 species
ACUCCUACGGGAGGCAGCAGUAAGGAAUAUUGCGCAAUGGGCGAAAGCCUGACGCAGCGACGCCGCGUGGGGGAUGAAGGUCUUCGGAUUGUAAACCCUUUCGGUCAGGGAAGGAUGGGCGGGCAACCGCUCGGACGGUACCUGCAGAAGCAGCCACGGCUAACUUCGGUGCCAGCAGCCGCGGUAAUACGAAGGUGGCAAGCGUUGUUCGGAUUUAUUGGGCGUACAGGGAGCGUAGGGCGGUUAGGUAAGCCCUUCGUGAAAUCUCCGGGCCUAACCCGGAAAGUGCGGGGG